rnacentral:rRNA from 1 species
GGGCAAACCGAAGAGUUUACUCUUCGGGGUUGUAGGACUGCAAUGUGGACUCAAAGAUUAUAGAAGAAUGAUUUGGGAAGAUCAGCCAAAGAGAGUAAUAGCCUCGUAUUUAAAAUAGUCUUUGUACCUAGCAGUAUCCUGAGUACGGCGGGACACGUGAAAUCCCGUCGGAAUCUGGGAGGACCAUCUCCCAACCCUAAAUACUCCCUAGUGACCGAUAGUGAACCAGUACCGUGAGGGAAAGGUGAAAAGCACCCCGGGAGGGGAGUGAAAUAGAACCUGAAACCGUGUGCCUACAACAAGUUCGAGCCCGUUAAUGGGUGAGAGCGUGCCUUUUGUAGAAUGAACCGGCGAGUUACGUUAUGAUGCGAGGUUAAGUUGAAGAGACGGAGCCGUAGGGAAACCGAGUCUGAAUAGGGCGCCUUAGUAUCAUGACGUAGACCCGAAACCAUGUGACCUACCCAUGAGCAGGUUGAAGGUGCGGUAAGACGCACUGGAGGACCGAACCAGGGCACGUUGAAAAGUGCUUGGAUGACUUGUGGGUAGCGGAGAAAUUCCAAACGAACUUGGAGAUAGCUGGUUCUCUCCGAAAUAGCUUUAGGGCUAGCGUCGACAUUAGAGAUUCUUGGAGGUAGAGCACUGUUUGGGUGAGGGGUCCAUCCCGGAUUACCAAUCUCAGAUAAACUCCGAAUGCCAAUGAAUUAUGGUCGGCAGUCAGACUGCGAGUGCUAAGAUCCGUAGUCGAAAGGGAAACAGCCCAGACCACCAGCUAAGGUCCCAAAAUAAUUGUUAAGUGGAAAAGGAUGUGGGGUUGCACAGACAACUAGGAUGUUAGCUUAGAAGCAGCUAUUCAUUCAAAGAGUGCGUAAUAGCUCACUAGUCGAGUGACCCUGCGCCGAAAAUGUACCGGGGCUAAAACAAUUUACCGAAGCUGUGGAUACCUUUAUAGGUAUGGUAGGAGAGCGUUCUAUGUGUGAUGAAGGUAUACCGUGAGGAGUGCUGGAACGCAUAGAAGUGAGAAUGCCGGUAUGAGUAGCGAAAGACAGGUGAGAAUCCUGUCCACCGUAAGACUAAGGUUUCCAGGGGAAGGCUCGUCCGCCCUGGGUUAGUCGGGACCUAAGGAGAGACCGAAAGGUGUAUCCGAUGGACAACAGGUUGAUAUUCCUGUACUAGAGUAUGUAGUGAUGGAGGGACGCAGUAGGCUAACUAAAGCAGACGAUUGGAAGAGUCUGUCUAAGCAGUGAGGUGUGAAUUGAGUCAAAUGCUUAAUUCUAUAACAUUGAGCUGUGAUGGGUAGCGAAGUUUAGUAGCGAAGUUAGUGACGUCACACUGCCAAGAAAAGCUUCUAGCGUUUAAACAUACUCUACCCGUACCGCAAACCGACACAGGUAGUCGAGGCGAGUAGCCUCAGGUGAGCGAGAGAACUCUCGUUAAGGAACUCGGCAAAAUGACCCCGUAACUUCGGGAGAAGGGGUGCUGACUUAAAGUCAGCCGCAGUGAAUAGGCCCAAGCAACUGUUUAUCAAAAACACAGCUCUCUGCUAAAUCGUAAGAUGAUGUAUAGGGGGUGACGCCUGCCCGGUGCUGGAAGGUUAAGAGGAGUGCUUAGCGUAAGCGAAGGUAUGAAUUGAAGCCCCAGUAAACGGCGGCCGUAACUAUAACGGUCCUAAGGUAGCGAAAUUCCUUGUCGGGUAAGUUCCGACCCGCACGAAAGGCGUAAUGAUUUGGGCACUGUCUCAACGAGAGACUCGGUGAAAUUUUAGUACCUGUGAAGAUGCAGGUUACCCGCGACAGGACGGAAAGACCCCAUGGAGCUUUACUGCAGUUUGAUAUUGAGUGUCUGUACCACAUGUACAGGAUAGGUAGGAGUCUAAGAGAUCGGGACGCCAGUUUCGAAGGAGACGCUGUUGGGAUACUACCCUUGUGUUAUGGCCACUCUAACCCAGAUAGGUGAUCCCUAUCGGAGACAGUGUCUGACGGGCAGUUUGACUGGGGCGGUCGCCUCCUAAAAGGUAACGGAGGCGCCCAAAGGUUCCCUCAGAAUGGUUGGAAAUCAUUCGCAGAGUGUAAAGGUAUAAGGGAGCUUGACUGCGAGAGCUACAACUCGAGCAGGGACGAAAGUCGGGCUUAGUGAUCCGGUGGUUCCGUAUGGAAGGGCCAUCGCUCAACGGAUAAAAGCUACCCUGGGGAUAACAGGCUUAUCUCCCCCAAGAGUUCACAUCGACGGGGAGGUUUGGCACCUCGAUGUCGGCUCGUCGCAUCCUGGGGCUGUAGUCGGUCCCAAGGGUUGGGCUGUUCGCCCAUUAAAGCGGCACGCGAGCUGGGUUCAGAACGUCGUGAGACAGUUCGGUCCCUAUCCGUCGCGGGCGUAGGAAAUUUGAGAGGAUCUGCUCCUAGUACGAGAGGACCAGAGUGGACUUACCGCUGGUGUACCAGUUGUCUUGCCAAAGGCAUCGCUGGGUAGCUAUGUAGGGAAGGGAUAAACGCUGAAAGCAUCUAAGUGUGAAACCCACCUCAAGAUGAGAUUUCCCAUGAUUAUAUAUCAGUAAGAGCCCUGAGAGAUGAUCAGGUAGAUAGGUUAGAAGUGGAAGUGUGGCGACACAUGUAGCGGACUAAUACUAAUAGCUCGAGGACUUAUCCAA